rnacentral:lncRNA from 1 species
CUCAGUAAGCAAACUAGUUUUUCUUAUAGAAAAUACAUACAUACUUAUACAUAAUGCAAUGGAUGAUAUGCCAUGAUCUUUUGGAAAUACUGUAAAAUAAAUUCAAAAAAAUCUCUUUCUGUCACUUUCAAACUUUCUCAUUUUCUUUCGAUGAAAUAUGUAUCCUGCAAUGUGGCACUUUGUGCUGUGCGUGGCACUUUGCACCAUGCGUGGCACUUUGCGGCGCUCUGGCCCUCAAGAGGUGGCCCCCGCAUAGUCUCAAGAGGUGGCCCCCACACAACUUCAAGAGGUGGCCCCCAAUGCAAAAUCUCAUAAAACAGAAAUUCCGUUUGCUAAAAUCCACUUUCUCAUUCAUAGAAAACUCAAUGCAUUUUCGUGCUCAUGCCAAUGAACCAUCACACAUACAUAUGCCCAUGUACAUAAUCACGCCCAUUACAUAACAACACAUCACAUAAACACAUGAGCAGAGACAUAUAAAUCCAUAUUCGUACAUAUCAAAAUAGGACAUCCGCCUUGGCCGUACAGCAGAGCUCUCACCAAGAAACACCUCUUUUCUGACAAAUGCAACGUAAUAUGAUCACGUCCUGCUUAAUAACACAAAGCAUAGAGGCUGCUCUAAUACUUUUCUAACUUAGCCAAAGUUGUUGAAGAUAUAAGUACUUUUAAGUGCUCAGUAAUCUUUAUUAAAUUAGCAUGAUUGGACAUAAUUAAAAAAUGAAAAUUGAAUCAUUAUGAUGAUUGAAUUAGGUAGUUUGAUUGGUGUUAUUUUGUCUAAUUAUCAAGGAGAACAUUCAAUUAUAUACAAUAUGUCCUUCCUAUUUUCUCUUUUAAUUAAAUCAUAAAAAGACUUGCAAUAUUGAUUAUGUAUCUGUUAUGUUGGUUAUUGAAGUGAAUUAUAGUUGUUUUCGUGAUUGUCAAAUAUUGUCUUUGUAACUUAUUUAUUUUUUAUUUAUGAAAUCAAUGGGGAUUUUGCUCUUAUUGAUGGAUGUUGCUGGGUACUAAGAACUGAUGGUCGUAUUAAUUAAUCAGUAUAAGUUAGUUGAAAGUUCAAUGUUCAUGCACUUUUGAGCUACAUAAGGCAAGGAAAAUUGAGUGACUUUAUGUGAUGUAAUGUGACACUAUUCAAUUAAGCAACUCUACUUUUUAGUGAUGGACACAAAUGAAACUAGUGGACUUGCAUUAGCUAGAUGAUAAUUAAAAGGCCAAGAUUAUAUCUUUAACACCCCAGUCCGAAAUCCAAGGGCAAAUAUGUCCACAACUCACAUAUGAUUUAAAUAACUCUUUACAAACAAUAAAAUCCGAGCUUCAAAUACAAAAGCCAGCGGAAUAACUUAAAAAUUUAGCCAAACCAUCUACCAUCUUUAACUUGUCACUCAUCACGAAUCAAUCCUGGAUCUACUAUCCUCAAUUUAAAUCCAUCUUCUCACUCAUCGCGAAUCAAUCCUGACUUCUGGAAACUGAAUCACAAUAAACUAUAACGAGUACAAAACCCAGUAAGCAAACUAGUUUUUUUUAUACCAAAAUACAUCCAUACUUAUACAUAAUGCAAUGGAUGAUAUGCCAUGAUCUUUUGGAAAUAUUGUAAAAUAAAUUCAUAAAAAUCUAUUUCUGUCGCUUUCAAACUUUCUCAUUUUCUUUCGAUGAAAUACAUAUCCUGCAAUGUGGCACUUUGUGCUGUACGUGGUACUAUGCACCAUGCGUGGCACUUUGCUGCGCUCUGGCCCUCAAGAGGUGGCCCCCGCAUAGUCUCAAGAGGUGGCCCCCACACAACUUCAAGAGGUGGCCCCCAAUGCAAAAUCUCAUAAAACAGAAAUUCCGUUUGCUAAAAUCCACUUUCUCAUUCAUAGAAAACUCAAUGCAUUUUCGUGCUCAUGCCAAUGAACCAUCACACAUACAUAUGCCCAUGUACAUAAUCACGCCCAUUACAUAACAACACAUCACAUAAACACAUGAGCAGAGACAUAUAAAUCCAUAUUCGUACAUAUCAAAAUAGGCUUUUCAUACAAGUCAGACAUAUAUAUUAUUUAUUGUGAUUCGUUUUAAAGUCUAGUUCACUUACCUC